UACGAAGGGGGCUAGCGUUGUUCGGAUUUACUGGGCGUAAAGCGCACGUAGGCGGUUUGUUAAGUGAGAGGUGAAAUCCCAGAGCUCAACUCUGGAACUGCCUUUCAUACUGGCAAGCUAGAGUCCGGAAGAGGGAUGCGGAAUUCCAGGUGUAGCGGUGAAAUGCGUAGAUAUCUGGAGGAACACCGGUGGCGAAGGCGGCAUCCUGGACCGGUAUUGACGCUGAGGCGCGGAAAGCCAGGGGAGCAAACGGG
rnacentral:rRNA from 1 species